rnacentral:lncRNA from 1 species
AUGAGGUGAGUUUGUUUGUUGCAGGAUAAGUUUUCAAAUUUGCAUGGGCUGUCAUAGCUCUCUCUCUCUCUCUCUCUCUCUCUCUCUCUCUCUCUCUCUCUCUCUCUCUCUCUCCUCUCUCUCUCACUCACUACUCUCUCUCUCUCUNNNNNNNNNNNNNNNNNNNNAGGUAGGUUAGGUUUAGGUUUUGGUUUUGGUUUCGUACGGUAAGUUAAGUUUAACGUUUAACGUUUAACGUUACGUACGUACGUCGGUCGUCGUCGUACUCUCUCUCUCUCUCUCUCUCUCUCUCUCUCUCUCUCUCUCACACCACCACACACACACACACACAAGCACAAACACAUGAAAAUGCAUAGUUAGAACUCAAAUAUGUACCAUUAACUGUUUUCUCUUGAUUUUGUUGACUGUCAUCGUGUUUGCUCUCUCUCUCUCUCUCUUCACAAACACGCACAGACGCAUCUGUAUAUGCAUGUAUAGUUCCUUACAUGAAUGUGUUACAUGAAUGUGUUGUCAACUACUUGUACAUUCUUGUGAAAUUUGGUUAUGCCAUGAGUGAAUAGAACAUAUUGG